rnacentral:rRNA from 1 species
CCUACGGGAUGCAGCAGUGAUGAAUAUUGGUCAAUGGACGCAAUUCUGACCCAGCCAUGCCGCGUGCAGGAAGACGGCUCUAUGAGUUUUAAACUGCUUUUGUACGAGGGUAAACGCAGAUACGCGUAUCUGUCUGAAAGUAUCGUACGACUAAGUAUCGGCUAACUCCGUGCCAGCAGCCGCGGUAAUACGGAGGAUUCAAGCGUUAUCCGGAUUUAUUGGGUUUAAAGGGAGCGUAGGCGGUCGGAUAAGUUAGAGGUGAAAGCCCGAGGCUCAACUUCGGAAUUGCCUCUGAUACUGUUCGGCUAGAGAGUAGUUGCGGUAGGCGGAAUGUAUGGUGUAGCGGUGAAAUGCUUAGAGAUCAUACAGAACACCGAUUGCGAAGGCAGCUUACCAGGCUACUUCUGACGUUGAGGCACGAAAGCGUGGGGAGCAAACAGGAUUAGAUACCCGUGUAGUC